rnacentral:misc_RNA from 1 species
GAUGAAGAACGUAGCGAAAUGCGAUAAUUAAUGUGAAUUGCAGAAUUCCGUGAAUCAUCGAGUCUUUGAACGCACAUUGCGCCUCAUGGCAUUCCGUGAGGCAUGCCCAUCUCAGCGUUAGAAAAUAUUCUCAAAUUUUAGUUUUGUGCUAAAAUUUGGAUCAUGUCAAGGAAGCUAUUACUAUUAUUGUGAUCGCUCUUUGGAAAUUGAUAGGUCUUUGAGUUGCUACUCAUAGAACGUGAUGAAUCUUUCUUCGUUCUAUUGUAAUUCACUCUGGUAGUCCUAAAACUUGUAUGCCUGUGGCAUAUCUUGUAAUUUGACCUGAGAUUGGGUAGGGAUACCCGCUGAACUUAAGCAUAUCAAUAAGCGGAGGGA